AAUAAAUAAUAGCACUACCGUACAGAAAUUACAAACCAAAAUGACAGCGACUCAGGGACGAAUUAUGCUGUCCCUCUUUGAUGUAUUGCACUAUCCCUUUCAGUCAUUUAGGUUUGGCAAAAUUCAAGUCAUUAUCUUAUAGAAAAACCGAAAGGAGGAGUGUUGACCCACUGGUGUUGUUUCGAUUGUAUGAGAGCGUAUUUUUGGUGGCGGGCUUGUGAUUCUUAAUUGGUAGAAAAAUAUUUUUACUGCUUGCAACUCUACUAUGGAGUGGUAGAAAAAGAUGACGGCGUCACGGCGGAAGUUCGUCGUCGGACUCGUCGACUCGCCGUAACGUUUUGUUCGUACGUCGAUCGCAAGCGCUCCUCUGCGCUCGCAUUCGCAAAUCAAUGGCCGAUGGUCAGAUGUGAUGCUUGCAGUCUCGGUCCGUAAAUUAUCGCGAAGGUACUACGCGUUUUAACUUAUAACAGUUCCUCUACUUCCAAAGUAAACUGUGUGGUGUGAAUUUCAGUGUGCAAACGGUGUAGCAACUUUAUUUCUGUGAUUGGACCUUGUGAAACUUUAAAUUUGUUAGUGAUCUCCGCGAUGCCAAGCACGUAAACACAUGUGACCGCCCGGCAAACGAUCCACGCAGUAAUGGCGUUCAUGACCAAGAAGAAACGGUACAAGUUCGGUGUUCAGUGCUGCCUCGAGGAGCUCACCGAGGUCCCGUUCGUGUCGGCGGUGCUCUUCGCGAAGGUGCGGCUGCUCGAUGGAGGGAAUUUCCAGGACCAUUCCAGCCGCGAGGAGGUCCGCAACCACGCGGUGCGCUGGAACGCGCAGUUCUCGUUCGUGUGCAAAAUGUGCGCGAACGCGAACACGGGUGUUCUAGAGCCGGCCCUGAUGCGCGUCUCCGUGAGGAAGGAGUGUAAAGGCGGACGUUCAUACCAGAAGCUCGGCUUCUGCGACGUGAACUUGGCGGAGCUGGCCGGUGCUGGCGAGAGCACACGCCGGCGGCUGCUCGAGGGCUACGACCCGCGGCGGCGGCUCGACAACUCCGUGCUGCGGGUGCGGAUCAAGAUGAACAUGAUCUCCGGCGACCCGCUCUUCAAAGUGCCCGAGCGCAAACAGGACGUGGACGGCAAGGCGGACAGCGGCUCCGAGAGCGCUGCCGGCGGGCCCGAGGAGGACUGCACGUCGAGCACGCCCAGCAGCGGUUUCGGCAGCCUCACCAAACGGUCCAACUAUGAGGGCAGCCACUCGCUGCCGCUGUCGUCGCUGCCGUCGUGCGAGAUGCCGUCGCCGGAGCCGGACGACGUCACCGACCAUCCUGGAACGGGAACGCUAACCGCCGCGUCGUGCGCGAGCUGCCUCCAGCAACACACACAUUCGCGCAACUCCUCGAACACCUCCGGGGACACGAGCAGCAAAGCGUCAGGUUACGGCAGCUCCGUAUCCGCCGCGUCCGCGCACUCCCGACAAAGCUCCGAGGGCGACUCCGCGGACGCGCGCCCCCACCACAACAGUCGCUUGUGCAAGCACACAGGGCGAGCACAAACGCUAACGAAGCUGCUGCUCGAGAAAUCAGUCUCGUCCGACAACUCGGACGUGUAUCUGACGCCCAACACGACCCUCACCGGACCGCCGGACGUCAUAAGGCACGCCAUACAGUCCCCCGCGACAGAAGACUACAAAACACCAGACACGACACUAACCAAUGAAAAUAAUCAACAUUUCGCUAUGCCCACUUACUUUGAUAAGAAAAAGAAGGCCGCGGCAACAAUGAUAAGCAACGCAGUCCAACCUUUAACGAACUUCCAAAUAUUCAAGCAGAAAUCUCUAAACACGAUCCCGGCUCUGAUAGAGAAAAACAAGCGCAACGAGGAGCUCUUCACCAACUUCCCAUUUCUAACACCUUUAGCGCACAGAAAGAGCUCACUAAUAUCCGACGCUAACAGACUAUCAGGAUGUAUAGAGGACGAGUUCUACAGCAUCACAUCUGACCAGGAGACUGACGGGGUGUCCGUCGACGUACGGAAUCGUUUCAAGAGUCUGUCUAACAAGAAUAUAGAUAAGGUUGUCACGUCGACGCCGAAAGAGAGGGUUGCUGUGAUACAGAGGUGUCACUACGCCUCGGAGCGCCGGCGCGGGGAGGUGCUGAGACACAGCUACACGGACCCGAGGAACCCGUCGUCCGGGUCGCUGACCGCGUCCGCGUCCGAGAGCGGCUCGCUGGACCGCGCGCGCGCCGCGUACUCGCGCCGCAAGCGCGCGCCUCAGCAGCCGCAGGCCGCGCCGGCCGACGACCAGCACAUGGUGUCCUGUCGAGUGGAGAACACGCGCGUGAAUCCUGACUCGCUGAUCGACGAGCUGCUCGCGCAGACCGAUCUCAAGCACGCCGUGGACGAGUCUGCGGAGACGUCCGGGCUGCAGCUGUUCAUAGCGCGCGACGGCACCGCGGAGCUGGGCUCGCGGCAGCGCACGGAGCGGCGGCCCGACUACCAGCGCGUCGUCAUACACCCGCACGAGCGCAGGUAGCCUACGGCCUGAGUGUACGCCGACGUGGGUCUCGGCCCGCCGCGGGUCUGACCCGACGCCCGACACCCGACACCCGACCACACCCGACAACUCGCAACAGACUCCCACGGGGACACUCGGCCGACCUCGACACUUCCUACGCAAUAGAUAUCACUUCCAUACGGCUUGUGUUCAAUUUUACUAAUUUUAUUCGGGGAGGAGCUGAAGCAGGCUGUUAGAACUGUCACAUACCCGGCGCAUGAGGGAGGCGGUACGUUUGCCGAUUAUCGCACUGAACGCGACCACUCUAGCCCCCGCAAACAUCCCCGAGGCGCUACAGUAACGUGGCAGUCCUAUCAGCAUGCGGAAUCCGUUAUCGUAUUGACCAGAAAGAAUGUGCGUAAAAGGACUGACAAAAACUAUUUCUGUCUAAACAAUUACGCACUUUACAUAAUAUUGUACACUGUACCGCUAGAACUCAUAUGUACGUCAUUCCAGUGCCUCCAAAAUGUACCUGACGGAUUUCCAGGGAGAAGCUGAAGCAGGCUGUUGGAACUGUCACAUACCCGGCGCAUGAGGGAGGCGGUACGUUUGCGGAUUAUCGCACUGAACGCGACCACUGUAGCCUCCGCAAACAUCCCCGAGGCGCUACAGUAACGUGGCAGUCCUAUCAGCAUGCGGAAUCCGUUAUCGUAUUGACCAGAAAGAAUGUGCGUAAAAGGACUGACAAAAACUAUUUCUGUCUAAACAAUUACACACUUUACAUAAUAUUGUACACUGUACCGCUAGAACUCAUAUGUACGUCAUUCCAGUGCCUCCAAAAUGUACCUGACGGAUUUCCAGGGAGGAGCUGAAGCAGGCUGUUUGAACUGUCACAUACCCGGCGCAUGAGGGAGGCGGUACGUUUGCGGAUUAUCGCACUGAACGCGACCACUCUAGCCUCCGCAAACAUCCCCGAGGCGCUACAGUAACGUGGCAGUCCUAUCAGCAUGCGGAAUCCGUUAUCGUAUUGACCAGAAAGAAUGUGCGUAAAAGGACUGACAAAAACUAUUUCUGUCUAAACAAUUACACACUUUACAUAAUAUUGUACACUGUACCGCUAGAACUCAUAUGUACGUCAUUCCAGUGCCUCCAAAAUGUACCUGACGGAUUUCCAGGGAGGAGCUGAAGCAGGCUGUUGGAACUGUCACAUACCCGGCGCAUGAGGGAGGCGGUACGUUUUCGGAUUAUCGCACUGAACGCGACCACUGUAGCCUCCGCAAACAUCCCCGAGGCGCUACAGUAACGUGGCAGUCCUAUCAGCAUGCGGAAUCCGUUAUUGUAUUGACCAGAAAGAAUGUGCGUAAAAGGACUGACAAAAACUAUUUCUGUCUAAACAAUUACGCACUUUACAUAAUAUUGUACACUGUGGCUCUAGAACUCAUAUGUACGUCAUUCCAGUGCCUCCAAAAUGUACCUGACGGAUUUCCAGGGAGGAGCUGAAGCAGGCUGUUGGAACUGUCACAUACCCGGCGCAUGAGGGAGGCGGUACGUUUGUGGAUUAUCGCACUGAACGCGACCACUCUAGCCUCCGCAAACAUCCCCGAAGCGCUACAGUAACGUGGCAGUCCUAUCAGCAUGCGGAAUCCGUUAUCGUAUUGACCAGAAAGAAUGUGCGUAAAAGGACUGACAAAAACUAUUUCUGUCUAAACAAUUACGCACUUUACAUAAUAUUGUACACUGUACCGCUAGAACUCAUAUGUACGUCAUUCCAGUGCCUCCAAAAUGUACCUGACGGAUUUCCAGGGAGAAGCUGAAGCAGGCUGUUGGAACUGUCACAUACCCGGCGCAUGAGGGAGGCGGUACGUUUGCGGAUUAUCGCACUGAACGCGACCACUGUAGCCUCCGCAAACAUCCCCGAGGCGCUACAGUAACGUGGCAGUCCUAUCAGCAUGCGGAAUCCGUUAUCGUAUUGACCAGAAAGAAUGUGCGUAAAAGGACUGACAAAAACUAUUUCUGUCUAAACAAUUACACACUUUACAUAAUAUUGUACACUGUACCGCUAGAACUCAUAUGUACGUCAUUCCAGUGCCUCCAAAAUGUACCUGACGGAUUUCCAGGGAGGAGCUGAAGCAGGCUGUUGGAACUGUCACAUACCCGGCGCAUGAGGGAGGCGGUACGUUUUCGGAUUAUCGCACUGAACGCGACCACUGUAGCCUCCGCAAACAUCCCCGAGGCGCUACAGUAACGUGGCAGUCCUAUCAGCAUGCGGAAUCCGUUAUCGUAUUGACCAGAAAGAAUGUGCGUAAAAGGACUGACAAAAACUAUUUCUGUCUAAACAAUUACGCACUUUACAUAAUAUUGUACACUGUGGCUCUAGAACUCAUAUGUACGUCAUUCCAGUGCCUCCAAAAUGUACCUGACGGAUUUCCAGGGAGGAGCUGAAGCAGGCUGUUGGAACUGUCACAUACCCGGCGCAUGAGGGAGGCGGUACGUUUGUGGAUUAUCGCACUGAACGCGACCACUCUAGCCUCCGCAAACAUCCCCGAAGCGCUACAGUAACGUGGCAGUCCUAUCAGCAUGCGGAAUCCGUUAUCGUAUUGACCAGAAAGAAUGUGCGUAAAAGGACUGACAAAAACUAUUUCUGUCUAAACAAUUACGCACUUUACAUAAUAUUGUACACUGUACCGCUAGAACUCAUAUGUACGUCAUUCCAGUGCCUCCAAAAUGUACCUGACGGAUUUCCAGGGAGAAGCUGAAGCAGGCUGUUGGAACUGUCACAUACCCGGCGCAUGAGGGAGGCGGUACGUUUGCGGAUUAUCGCACUGAACGCGACCACUGUAGCCUCCGCAAACAUCCCCGAGGCGCUACAGUAACGUGGCAGUCCUAUCAGCAUGCGGAAUCCGUUAUCGUAUUGACCAGAAAGAAUGUGCGUAAAAGGACUGACAAAAACUAUUUCUGUCUAAACAAUUACACACUUUACAUAAUAUUGUACACUGUACCGCUAGAACUCAUAUGUACGUCAUUCCAGUGCCUCCAAAAUGUACCUGACGGAUUUCCAGGGAGGAGCUGAAGCAGGCUGUUUGAACUGUCACAUACCCGGCGCAUGAGGGAGGCGGUACGUUUGCGGAUUAUCGCACUGAACGCGACCACUCUAGCCUCCGCAAACAUCCCCGAGGCGCUACAGUAACGUGGCAGUCCUAUCAGCAUGCGGAAUCCGUUAUCGUAUUGACCAGAAAGAAUGUGCGUAAAAGGACUGACAAAAACUAUUUCUGUCUAAACAAUUACGCACUUUACAUAAUAUUGUACACUGUGGCUCUAGAACUCAUAUGUACGUCAUUCCAGUGCCUCCAAAAUGUACCUGACGGAUUUCCAGGGAGGAGCUGAAGCAGGCUGUUGGAACUGUCACAUACCCGGCGCAUGAGGGAGGCGGUACGUUUUCGGAUUAUCGCACUGAACGCGACCACUGUAGCCUCCGCAAACAUCCCCGAGGCGCUACAGUAACGUGGCAGUCCUAUCAGCAUGCGGAAUCCGUUAUUGUAUUGACCAGAAAGAAUGUGCGUAAAAGGACUGACAAAAACUAUUUCUGUCUAAACAAUUACGCACUUUACAUAAUAUUGUACACUGUGGCUCUAGAACUCAUAUGUACGUCAUUCCAGUGCCUCCAAAAUGUACCUGACGAAUUUCCAGGGAGGAGCUGAAGCAGGCUGUUGGAACUGUCACAUACCCGGCGCAUGAGGGAGGCGGUACGUUUGUGGAUUAUCGCACUGAACGCGACCACUCUAGCCUCCGCAAACAUCCCCGAAGCGCUACAGUAACGUGGCAGUCCUAUCAGCAUGCGGAAUCCGUUAUCGUAUUGACCAGAAAGAAUGUGCGUAAAAGGACUGACAAAAACUAUUUCUGUCUAAACAAUUACGCACUUUACAUAAUAUUGUACACUGUACCGCUAGAACUCAUAUGUACGUCAUUCCAGUGCCUCCAAAAUGUACCUGACGGAUUUCCAGGGAGAAGCUGAAGCAGGCUGUUGGAACUGUCACAUACCCGGCGCAUGAGGGAGGCGGUACGUUUGCGGAUUAUCGCACUGAACGCGACCACUGUAGCCUCCGCAAACAUCCCCGAGGCGCUACAGUAACGUGGCAGUCCUAUCAGCAUGCGGAAUCCGUUAUCGUAUUGACCAGAAAGAAUGUGCGUAAAAGGACUGACAAAAACUAUUUCUGUCUAAACAAUUACACACUUUAUAUAAUAUUGUACACUGUACCGCUAGAACUCAUAUGUACGUCAUUCCAGUGCCUCCAAAAUGUACCUGACGGAUUUCCAGGGAGGAGCUGAAGCAGGCUGUUGGAACUGUCACAUACCCGGCGCAUGAGGGAGGCGGUACGUUUUCGGAUUAUCGCACUGAACGCGACCACUGUAGCCUCCGCAAACAUCCCCGAGGCGCUACAGUAACGUGGCAGUCCUAUCAGCAUGCGGAAUCCGUUAUUGUAUUGACCAGAAAGAAUGUGCGUAAAAGGACUGACAAAAACUAUUUCUGUCUAAACAAUUACGCACUUUACAUAAUAUUGUACACUGUGGCUCUAGAACUCAUAUGUACGUCAUUCCAGUGCCUCCAAAAUGUACCUGACGGAUUUCCAGGGAGGAGCUGAAGCAGGCUGUUGGAACUGUCACAUACCCGGCGCAUGAGGGAGGCGGUAUGUUUGCGGAUUAUCGCACUGAACGCGACCACUCUAGCCCCCGCAAACAUCCCCGAGGCGCUACAGUAACGUGGCAGUCCCAUCAGCAUGCGGAAUCCGUCAUUGUAUUGAACAGAAAGAAGGCGCGUAAAAGGACUGACAAAAAGCCUUAAAAAGGGUCUUUUUGACAUCCCCGUCACACCGUGCGAACCUACGUGACAGCAUUUACCACACAAAUAAACGGCAGGAACUGACGUAUACUCUUUUUUGUCUGCCUUAAAAACCAGUAAUUCGCUCUAUUUAGUGUUGUACAUCAGGCCAUGGGUCACCGCAUACUCCUCACAGAUCUUUAACAGUUUGACAAGAGCGCUGAUCGCCAGACAGCAGCACCAUAUCAUCUGCAUAACUGAUGUUGUUAACAAUGGUGCCGCCAAUUGAACAUCCGAUACCCGUGCUGCUGAGCCUAGCGAUCAUUUCAUCUAUUUUUUUUUCUAUGGGGGAAAAUGCAUUCCGCAUACCACCCGGGUGCGGGGGGUGACCCGUGUGGUUAUGUGGGACUCCCGUCUAGGCUAAUGAGGCCCACGGUAUACCCACUAAAAACCCCCCAUAUGCCACCUCGCCGCCUUAUUGGUGGGGUUACAGGAAUGCUUGCGUACUCAUCCGCGACCCCACCGGCGGCAGCUGCCCGCGAGCGGCUCCUUCGCGAAUGCCCGAAAGCCCUUCACGCGAGGCGCGCCAGAUGGUUCGACGCGCCUUCCUCCUCGGCCUCCGUCCUGCAGUGUAGCGGACCCCCCCGAGCCCGCCACAAGGAGGCCACGGGCGCCAGAAAACUCCCCAGCGCCCGGCGGCAGAUGAAGUCCAUGGUUCUGCCGCAAACCACAACUCGGCUGCAGAGGACAUGGAGAACGGCACACCGUAACACCGACACUCCUCUUCCUCUGCAGCCCCACCAACGCCGCUACAGCGGAACGGCCCCGCCAAGGUCGCAGGGGAUAGGGAGAGUGGCGCAUCGUGAUACCAUCACGCCUCUUCCCCUGCGAUCCCACCUCGGCCGUCGAGGAUAGGGAGAACGGCUCAUCGCAAUACCGACACUCCUCUUCCUCGACGGUCCACCUCCAACGCGUCACAAGCGGGCUUAUCAAGUCCACUUGGAGCGUCCUCCUCGGGCCAGCCGGCAGAUCAAACAGGCCGGCCCUGGUUGCCUCUUCGCUUCACCGUGGGAGACCAAAAGCUCCCUGAAAAUUAUUAUUGGAAAUAUUCGAUUUUUAUUUAUUACAAUUAACAUUACAUUUAUAAAUAACUGGAAAGUGAUCCGACCAAUAGGUAUCAUAUUUAACUUCUACAUCCACGACGGUCAACCAAGCUGACUCAGCGACCAAACAGUGGUCCAGCCACCUACUACUUCCAUUAGCGUCGCUUAUGAAAGUAUAUGUCCCCGAACCACUGCCUAGCCACUCAAUGUCAGCACAUCGCCAGGAGUGUUCCACACAAAAGUCACACAUCUCAUUAAAGAAAAGUUCCCCCGGAUGGGCAUUGAAAUCGCCAAGUACAAAAACACAAUCAGCACUUUGAGUUUCAAUGAUUGCGCACACCUCACUAAGGCAUUCCGUAAACUCGGGUAAAUUGGUUAUGUCAUCCGUCGGCAUAUACACAGAGAAUAUUAGAACCGAGCGCCCUCCUGCGUUUACACUGAUCGCAGCCAACCGUACACUACUACACUGUAUCACCUUUACCGCCGAGAAAACACCUUUUUUCCACAUCAAGGCACCACCCCCAUAUGGUCUUCCUUUCAAAACGCCAAGCGAAGAGUUCACCGCCACCGCGUGCUAAACACGAAGAAUUUCGUACAUUGACACGCCAUUCUGUCUGUCGCACGCGCGUAAUAUUGCUGAUAGAUAGAUAGAUUAAUUUAUUUCUCUCAUCUCUGUACAAGAUAAUAAUAAUUAAUUAAAUAUUGAAAAAAUAAAUAAUAAAAAACAAUUACCCAUCUAUGUCGAAAAUAUAAAUAAUGUCAAAAAUUAUUACUUGCUGAGUAUAAAGCGGUCUUUAAAAAGGUCUUUGCACGAGUGCCUCGAGUUCACACCUGCCAAUACGCGUAUGGCUCGCUUUUGCAGUUUAAACACUCUGACCGAAUGUGUUUUUGCUGGUUGCUGUCUAUAUUUACUGGCAUUGACCGCCGGCAUCAUCGGCGGGACAAAAAUACAUUGUAUUAUGUGCAAUACAGACGAAAUUCUCAGUGCUCAGCGUCCUUACCAUAGAAAUAGGAGCGCGUCUCGAUAUAUUUGGUCACUUUGGCCGUCACCACAGUUCGAAAUGAUAAUUAUCGUGAUUGUUAUGACUGAUAAUUAUCGGUUUGAUAAUAAUCUGAAAUUUAUAAAAUGUGGUAUGUUUAAAAACAAAUCGCGCGUGAAUUGGAACGUGGAUAGUUGCUUCAAAUAUAGCAAAAUCCAUUCCUGUGAUAAUUAUCCGAUAUUUAUCGCGAUAAUUAUUAAAGACUAUAAGUAUCUGGAUAACUUCUAACCCUGGCCGUGGCUAUCUAUUUGCCCCCUUAUUCAUAAACGUCUACUAAAGUUGACAAGCCGCUAAUAAUCGUUUGUCCCUUUCCGACGUAUUGAUAUGAUGGAAAGGGACAAACGAUUAUCAGCGGCUUGGCAACUUUAGUAGACGUUUAUGAAUAAUGGGGUUAGUGCUCACUUUACGAGAUCAAAUAACCAAUUUUAUGAUUGAUUUGAGUGUCACGUCCGUGAACUUUUUAAUAGUAGAUCCAAUUAUUUUGAUUAUAAUGUAUAUACGAACGAGGAAAUGUGUGUAACUAAUCGGGUGUUACUGAAAUCGGCAACAACCCUAGUCCCGUAGCUAUGUAUCGGCUGAACCGUAGAUUACCUAGUAGAUGUGGCAUUAGACUACAUGUAGUGGAUAAUCCUUUACCGUCGUAUUUUCACGGAAACGCACGUACGUGUUGUGCUAUUUCAGUCAGACUCAGUACAAAAUGUAGAAUACGAUGGUUAAGGAUUGUUCACAUCUGUGCUCUCACCGCACAAGCACUUAUGACUUAUGUCGUACGUUUAUUUCAUGGAUUGUAUUAUAUCCCCUCAACUGUGGGAAAGCCCGACAACCCCGAUAUACAACGUGUUACACCAGUCACUGAAAAUGGAGUGGGUACACGUUGUAUAGAUCAUACUGAGCAACUUUUACUUUCAGUGGCUGGUGUAACACGUAUAUUAAUGACAUAUAUAAAAUUUAAAAACGCUCCGGAAAUCUUUUCGAAACGUUGUUUAUUAAAGGAUGAUGUAAUUUUUUUAUUGUAUUAAAUGUAAAUAAAUAUUCUUGCCAAUGCUCGGAACCGAUUUUAAAAAUAGCGGUAAAUACCAGUUUAUUUCGGUUUAAAUCCGAACUUUUAUAAGAAGUUGAUUAAUCUAUGGUUGAGGCUGCGUUUCUACCAUAGAUGUGCGAGGAUGCGUAGCGAUGUAUUUGUUAAGAACUAAUGGAAAAUUGCCGAUUAUAUUGGUUCUUAACUCUUAACAAACCAAAACCUCCGGUGGAAACGCACCCUAAGAGUGACUUUAUGCGGUGAGUCUAAAUGCAAAAUCCAUCUACGGGAGGUAAUCUACGAGCUAGCAGCGCACUUGCCUGGCAGACUUGAAAAAGGCAGGUAGAUUUAACCCACCCCCCUGUAUUUUUAACAACCCCUAACUUUUAGGGCUCCAUUUGUGAAGCUAGUUACAAUUUGACUUGUCAUCCGGUGUGCGAGCAGGAUAGCUAUAUGCAUAGCGCUGUCUCGCUCGCACAAACUUAAAUUGUAAUUUUGCAAAACCAGGCCUGCCUUACGCAAUAACGUAUUAGAAAUAUAUAAUGUUGUAUGAAAAAUAAUACUAUAUAUUUUUAAACAAACUACUUGCCAAUAGGGCGUUUAAUCUUGAAUUAACUUAUUUAAAAUAAUUAUAAAAAAAUAGAUUUUUGUUAAAAUGAGGUAAAUUUUUAUUUCCAUGUUACAUCUACCCGCAUUUUUCCUAUUUUCUAUACAAUUAAGAGCUGUGAGAAACAAUCGGCUAGUUGUCUAUUUAUUGUCAUUAUAUUCGCGUAUCUAUAAGCGUAUUAUUGUAUGUAAGCGAUACAGUAUUUAAUACGAGAUUGUGUAUUAUAGCGGGAUCCAUACAAAUACAGGGGCAUAUAAUGGUCACGCUUAUCGCUUCGAUAGAGACAAGAUUGAGCGCUGAUAUCUCUCACGUUCUUACUUCGACGCUAUAAGUGCGACCAUAACACGCUCGCAGGGGCGUAGGGAUAUUGACAGUGAAAUUAUAACCUUACAGUCUGAAUUAUAGAGUUUAAUUUUGAAAUAGUUUUUUAAGUGAAAUGACAUUAGGUUCGUCGUUAUAAAGUCGGUAUUUGAGUUUCAUCAUUUCGUUAAGAGGAAAAGGGAUGAAGUCACGUGACCGCUCUUCAAAAUGUAGUUCCCAAUUUGGUCUCUUGUUAUUCGCCAUUUACAAUAUAAUUUACGCCAUUUCAUGUAUAUUAGCAACAGCAAUUUCAUGUAUAUAAAAAAAUCAAACAAAGGACAUUUUUUUUAGUUAUUAAUUUUGAUGUUUUUAGUUUUUAACCUUUUCGCCGCCAUUGACUUGAUAUUAAGUCGGUACUUGACCUGCCCCGCACGCCACUUUAUAUCAAGUCGUUGUUUCGGUGAGGUUUGUAUACGUGCGAUUUUUGACGUGGCGGCGAAAAGAUUAAUGAGGAAAAUGGGCACUACGUAUGAAUGGAGAAGAGUCCACUAUCUUAAAUAUGUUCUUACUCCAUACAGUUAACCGACAAUCAGUAAACCUUACUGUAAAUCAAAGAGAAUUUAUUGUAAUAGAGUGCAGUAUAAGGAAAAUACGUGCCCCUUAGUUUGGCAUCCAAAACAGAUGGCUGCGCCAUACGUUUACCUGUCAAAUUCGAAGCACGAAAUUGUCAUAGAUUUUACGCAUCUUGCAUGUAUUGUUGCUGUAAAUAUAUAAGGGUGUGACAAGUACAUCGAGAAACGCCGAUUGAAAAGAUAAAUGUGAUGACAGAUACUAUAAUUGGUUUUUAUUUUUAACAUUAGGAAAAAGGUAAACAAUCUUGACAUGUCUUUUUAUAGAAAAACGCUUUUUUAUUAGUAAUUAUUGCUUUUGAAAGCAAAAUAAUGUAAAUGUUAUUUGUAAUUGUCACAUAUUUGCCGUGACUUAUUUCUUAAAAGUGUUUUCCAAUAAAAGACACGUCAUAAUCGCUUGCCUUCUGUCUAAUGCUAAACUAUAUGAAGGGUCAUGUGAUCAUUUCCAAUAUUAUUUAAAUUUAGAUUGGCGUCUUCUAUCAGGUCAGGUAUUCUAUCUAGGAAAUAAGAAAAGUGAUUUCGGCGUUCUUAGAAACCAAUUCCCCAAGGGGGUUAAAGUAGCGUUCAUUGAAAGUUUGUCUUAAUCCCCUAAAUUGGUGAAAAAAAAAAUUUGAAAAUCUUAUGUCGAUCGUCAUAUAUCGCGUCGAAUGAUAGUUCCUAUAACAAUUUCUUCGUAUACACGAAAUUUUCUUGAGCAAAUUAAAAAAAAAUGUAGAAAUAUGUUUUUACCGUAUUUUUAUUACUCAAAGGUUACAUUCCUAAAUAAAUUAAUGUACAGAACUUCCGAAAUAUGUCUACAAAUAUUGUACGUCAUAACUCCAAUUAAAAGUCAUAGAAUCAUCAUUCGACGCGAAAGGUGCUGGGGGCCUACCGCGUCAAACCAAAAUUCGCAAAUUGCGGGGAUCUUUCUCUUUUACUCUCACUAAGACGUAAUUGGAGUGACAGAGAAAAAUGCCCGCAGUUGACGAACUCCGAUGUUCGCGGUUAUAGCCCUGGUCUCAUUACUAACACUUUCUACAAGUUACUUUAAUUUGUAUUCGUUCACGUAUCAUUGAAGUUGUUUGUCGUACAACUACAGAGAAAAGGUUUGUAAUUUCUAGUUCUGUAAUCCUUUGGAGUGUAAUUUUAUCUGGAACGAAAUAUGGUGCCCGCUGAAUGUAUUUACGCUGAGAUUGAAAUGAUGACAGAGAGAACAGAGGUUGUGUGCACUGUAUACUAUUGUAUCAAACUAAAGACACGGCGUAGAAGCAACUCUUUAGGAUAUAGUAACCUUGUAUGUUACAACCGAUUUGUGUUAUUUAUUUUUCAUUCACACUUUUUUUGUGUUCCUAAUAUUGUUAAACACGUUACUGGAGACCAAGAUAACUCUGCAGCGAUUUUUAUAGCCCAGAAACUUCUAUUGAAAUUAUGACGUUUAAAUAAUAGAUACACGUGUGUGCUAUAAAAAUCAAGGCUCGGAAACCGGUUAUAUUUCCAAACCGUCAUGUACUUGACGCAAAACCUUUUAAUUUCGGUUCCGUUUGUGAAACCGUUAUUAUUAAACCGGUUUUAAGGAGAACAUUUCCAUAAAGUUCUUGUCAGUUCAACCGGUUUAGAAUAAUAAAAACCGAUUUCUUCCUAUGUCGGUGUCUUUGUUUACGCGGCUCACCACCAGGGGGCCUACCGCGAAAACCGAAAUUCGCAAAUUGCGGGGAUCUUUCUCUUUUACUCUCACUAAAACGUAAUUAGAGUGACAGAGAAAAAUGGCCGCAAUUGACGAAUUUCAAUUUUCCCGGUAGCCGCCCAGGCCGGCCGUCGAAAGAACCAGUUUAUUUAGGUUACAAUAACAUUGUUAAAAUGUUCGUGUUAUGAAAGUUCGGAGUAAAACUAAAAUAAACCGGUAUUUACCGGUAUUUCUAAAACCAGUUCCUAGCCUUGAUAAAAAUCGCAGCAGAGUUAUCUUGGUCUUGGUAGUAAUAUCGGCCAGUCAAGGUCAUAUUUCAUAGACAUCUGAUAUUAAUAAUGGCAUUAUCACACCGCAAAUUGCAUAACUAUAGGACUACCGGCGAUUUACUUCGUUUAUCCGUUCGUCUAUUUGCCUCUUUCACUAUCGCGUAUCCGAGCGAUAAAGAGGCGAAUAGACGAAACUUUGUAUUUCGAUGUUGUUCGAAGAGAGCGGUCUCUACGUCGCGCCUGUCUCGCUUCCCCUUGAUGUACAAUCCUACAUAUUUAUUAUUUAGCUGUAAAUGCCAUAUAAUUAAUGUAAAUUAUAUUUAAUUUUCGUUUGGCAGUUUUUAAACGAAACCGGAGUUGUUACAGGUCAGUUUUGUGUAAUAAUUAUUUUGAUUAUUAAAUGUUAUUAAUUAUUAUAAUAUUGUUUGUGUCGUCCGUUCGUCUACCGUUUGUAUAUUGAUUUUACUACUGUACAAAGUCCGGUUUCGAACUAAGUAUUUUUAUUCUUAAAUGUAUAGUAUUCGUAAGUAGGUGUUAUUUGAAAUUUUUGUCGACUUUUUGUCGCGCCCUGACAUUGCCUCGGCUUAAAUAAAACGCCAUUUUCUUUGGUUAUAUGUA